GACGAACGCUGGCGGCGUGCUUAACACAUGCAAGUCGAACGGAAAGGCCUCUUUCGGGGGGUACUCGAGUGGCGAACGGGUGAGUAACACGUGAGUAACCUGCCCUUGACUUUGGGAUAACUUCAGGAAACUGGGGCUAAUACCGGAUAGGAGCUCCUGCUGCAUGGUGGGGGUUGGAAAGUUUCGGCGGUUGGGGAUGGACUCGCGGCUUAUCAGCUUGUUGGUGGGGUAGUGGCUUACCAAGGCUUUGACGGGUAGCCGGCCUGAGAGGGUGACCGGCCACAUUGGGACUGAGAUACGGCCCAGACUCCUACGGGAGGCAGCAGUGGGGAAUAUUGCACAAUGGGUGGAAGCCUGAUGCAGCAACGCCGGGUGCGGGAUGACGGCCUUCGGGUUGUAAACCGCUUUCGCUCAUGACGAAGCUUUGUGUGACGGUAGUGGGUAAAGAAGCACCGGCUAACUACG
rnacentral:rRNA from 1 species